rnacentral:rRNA from 1 species
AUUUUGCCCAACGGUGGAAGCCCUGAUCCAGCGAUCCCGCGUGUAUGAUGAGGGCUUUCGUUUGGUGAAGUACGUUCGGCGGGGGGGAUAAGGCGCCGGCUAAAACCUUCCGAGGCUGACGCUAUCUUCAGACUAAAUACCGGUUAACUACUUUCCAGCAGCUGCGGUAAUACUUAGGUCGCAAGCGUUAAUCGGAAUUACUGGGCGUAAAGCGUGCGCAGGCGGUUCGGAAAGAAAAAUGUGAAAUGCCAGGGCAUAACCUUAGAACUGCAUGUUUAACUGCCGGGCUAGAGUAUGUCAGAGGGAGGUAGAAUUCCACGUGUAGCAGUGAAAUGCGUAGAGAUGUGGAGGAAUACCGAUGGCGAAGGCAGCACCCUGGGAUAAUACUGACGCUCAUGCACGAAAGCGUGGGGAGCAAACAG